rnacentral:rRNA from 1 species
GACGUAGGGGACGAGCGUUGUCCGGAUUCAUUGGGCGUAAAGCGCGCGUAGGCGGCCACGCAAGUCGGGUGUGAAAUCCCGGAGCUCAACUCCGGAACUGCACUCGAAACUGCGCGGCUUGAGGUAGGUAGGGGAGAGCGGAAUUCCCGGUGGUAGCGGUGAAAUGCGCAGAUAUCGGGAAGAACACCGGUGGCGAAGGCGGCUCACUGGCCCGGUACUGACGCUGAGGUGCGAAAGCGUGGGGAGCAAACAGG